CCCUGGUGGCUCAGAUGGUAAAGAGUCUGCCUGCAAUGCAGGAGUCCCAGGUUUGAUCCCUGGGUCAGGAA
rnacentral:tRNA from 1 species